rnacentral:lncRNA from 1 species
AAAUUCUAAAGAGUAUCAGACACAGAACAGCUGUUUUUCCAGACUUACCUAAAUAAAAACGCGCUUCUGAGAGUGUAAAGUCUUAGUUAGCUAGUUAACUAGCUAGCUUAACAGGCUAAAUAACUAUAUAACGUUAGCUAACAGGCUAACCACUUACACUAAGCAUUUACAUGUUAGCCGUUAAAUCGCUAACCGCUUUUAGGCUAGCCGCUAGUACAUUAACAGCUAACAGGUUAGCUUCUAAUAUGCUAACUGCUUUUAGGCUAGCCGCUAGUACAUUAACAGCUAACAGGUUAGCUUCUAAUAUGCUAACUGCUUUUAGGCUAGCCGCUAGUACAUUAACAGCUAACAGGUUAGCUUCUAAUACGCUAACCGCUUUUAGGCUAGCCACUAGGACAUUAACUCCUAACAGGUUAGCCGCUAAUACGCUAACCACUUUUAGGCUAGCUGCUAGCCGCUAAUCCACUAACCACUAACAGGCUAACUGAUACACAGGCUAGCCGCUAACAGGCUAGCCGCUAACCGCUAAAUUUCUCUGAUAGUGUGUUCCAGCUAAAAGAGGCUGAAAUCACACCGUUUAGAAGUUAAAGCUUCAAACCUGAGCACACGGUCCUGUGAUGAGAGUUUUGAGGCUCAGCUUGCAGACUCCUGUAUGCAGCAGCUCGCUGAUAAGUUCCAGGAGCGUAUCUGAUGCUGAGACUGCAUGAUUACAUCUCUGUGGUCUCCUGGUUCCUGCUGGAGAGAAAAAAGGAGGCGAGUAAAAACUCUCAACACUACCUGCACAAGAGAAAAGCAUCAGCAAUAAAGGAGCUAUCUAAUCAUCACACGGGUGAAAUGCCUGUUCAAAGAUCGGGCCUGACCGAUUCAGUGCAGGGGGAGUCCGGUACGACAGAGCGGAAAACUGCAGAGAUGCCCAGUUUCACUUUGCGUAAGCCUCACAGGUGUGGUACACCUGCUGCAGCAUCCCUACUGUAUAAAAGCAGCAUGACUCUGCAUGGCUCAGCAUCACACCUGCAUCCAGACACCACUUCAGUCUUCAGACCAAGAGAGAGAGAGAGAACACACAACUACAGGUAUAUAAAGAUGAUCUGGAUCAGAGCCUUCAUUAUCGGCAGCCUGCUGUCUCUGCUCGAAGCUCAUAAACAGUGCACACAGCUGAUCAGAUGGGGGAACCUGUACGAUGGCUUGACUGCAAUGAGCACGGAUAUAUCUGGAAUCUGUGCUCCUCACUACAACAUAGACAACCUUUGUGAUCCAGCUCAUAUGCUGAACCAGGUGGAGCUGAACGCUGUAGUGAUGGCUGACAUCAUGAAGAAAGCGGAAUCGAUUUACAGCAAAAAUCCAAACCCUGAACAUUUCAUCAUGGGUCUUAAACACACCCUCAACACUCUAGCACCCUGUGUCCAUCAUGCACACAACGCUGACCAUGAACCUGUAACUGCAUGCUUCAACAAGCUGGAGGCUUUUAUUCAGGACAAUAUGGCUCAUGCUGGCUGUGCGUGGGAGAUCGUUAAUGCGAGAGUGAGAGAACUCCUUCAGAGGCUGGAGAAACGCACGCUCAGAAAACGACGCUGAAGAGUUUUCCUUUAUCUGCUUAUGUAUACUGUACAUAUACUGUACACUGAUCAGACAUAACAUUAGCACCAUGCACCUAAUAUUGAAUAGGCUCCCCACCACCUCUGACGUUGUAAUGUGGUAUUUGGCACCAAGAUGUUAGCAAUUAUUAGGUGGGACCAUGACCUUUAGUAAGCCUAUGGUACCCUACUUAUAAUAGGAUGUUUAAGAGAUAUUCUAACCCAGACAUCUGGCCAUAACAGUUUGGCUCUUGUAAAAAAAAUCCUUUGCCCAUUUUUCCUGCUUCAGGAAGUCCGUAUGAUGAAGUUAGUUCACUCAGUGGCCAUAUAAGAUUAUAAGACCGAUCUCCACAUCAAAGGGGGGAUUCCCCACUAACACACUGCCCCUCCUCCACCCUUCACAAGACCAACAAGCUGACUGGCUCUUUCUGUUGAAGGGCGGGACUUUAUUCGUAAACAGAAGCCAUGUUAAGCAUUAUAAACACUCAUUUUCAUAUUUUAACCAGUAGCUGGUCUCCUCAUUAAUAACAUCUCUGUUUAAAUACAUCAACUUUAGGAACUAACUGUUCACCUGCUACCUAAUAUGUAGAUCCCACUCCUGAACUGGUGCCAUUGAAGAUAAACAUAAUCAAUUCUUUUUUACUUCACCUGACAGUGGUGCUGAUGUUAUGGCUGAUUGGUGUUUAUAUAAGCCUUUCUGUUUUGUUUAUGAAUGUUUACAUGGAUUCAACUUGAAUAUUUAAAGCGGAUUUUUUUAAUAUCUACAGUCUAGUCACAAGUGCUGUAAGCUGUUCAUUUUAUUUCAUUUCAUUGUUUUUAUUAUAUUAUUAUUUAACCAGACAAUUUAAAACUGGAAUUUAGAUUUUAAGACAUUUUAUUGAAAAAAAAAAGAAAAAAAAAUAUUAUAAAAUAUCAAACACAUCCAGUUGUUCCAGUGUUCAGUUUUAC